GAUGAACGCUAGCGAUAGGCUUAACACAUGCAAGUCGAGGGGCAGCACAAGGUAGCUUGCUAUCUGGGUGGCGACCGGCGCACGGGUGCGUAACGCGUAUGCAACUUGCCCUAUACAGGAGGAUAACCCGUCGAAAGACGGACUAAUACUGCGUAUGCUCACAACUUGGCAUCCAGUGGUGAGGAAAGAAAUUCGGUAUAGGAUAGGCAUGCGUCCCAUUAGCUUGUUGGUGAGGUAACGGCCCACCAAGGCAACGAUGGGUAGGGGAACUGAGAGGUUUCUCCCCCACACUGGUACUGAGACCCGGACCAGACCCGUACGGGAGGGAGCAGUGAGGAAUAUUGGUCAAUGGGCGCGAGCCUGACCCAGCCAAGUCGCGUGAAGGAUGACUGUCUUAUGGAUUGUAAACUUCUUUUAUACGGGAAUAACAAGAGUCACGUGUGACUCCCUGCAUGUACCGUAUGAAUAAGCAUCGGCUAACUCCGUG
rnacentral:rRNA from 1 species